UUUGGUUUUCCAAAGAACAAAUUUUCGGUGCCUUUUGUCUCUACUUUGACUCACUUCAAUCAAAUCAAAUUGAGCUCAAAACUAGUAAGACACGAAAACCUCGUACCUCAUACCUCAUACCUCAUACCUCAUACCUCAUACCUCAUACCCAUGAAUUCUUGUUCUUGUUCUUCAACUAUGAUCCUCUUCGAUUCACGCCCUUGUUUCAAAUUCAAACCAUUUCUCACCAAUUCACCUUCCUCCUUUGUAAUCAAACACAAACCCAACUUCAAAUUCAAAACCGAUCAUAA
rnacentral:lncRNA from 1 species